rnacentral:rRNA from 1 species
AGAGUUUGAUCCUGGCUCAGGAUGAACGCUGGCGGCGUGCCUAACACAUGCAAGUCGAACGAUGAAACCGCCCCCGGGCGGACAUGAAGUGGCGAACGGGUGAGUAACACGUGACCGACCUGCCCCCCGCCCAGGGACAGCCCCCCGAAAGGGGGAUUAAUACCUGGUACUCCGGAAGCGGCGCAUGCCGCCCCCGGGAAAGCUCCGGCGGCGGGGGAUGGGGUCGCGGCCCAUCAGGUAGACGGCGGGGCAGAGGCCCACCGUGCCGACGACGGGUAGCCGGGUUGAGAGACCGACCGGCCACAUUGGGACUGAGAUACGGCCCAGACUCCUACGGGAGGCAGCAGUGGGGAAUUUUGCGCAAUGGGGGCAACCCUGACGCAGCAACGCCGCGUGCGGGACGAAGGCGUCCGCGUCGUAAACCGCUUUCAGCGGGGAACACUUAAACGAGGGUACCCGCAGAAGAAGCCCCGGCUAAAUACGUGCCAGCAGCCGCGGUAAUACGUAUGGGGCGAGCGUUAUCCGGAUUCAUUGGGCGUAAAGCGCGCGUAGGCGGAGCGCUAAGCGGGACCUCUAACCCGAGGGCUCAACCCCCGGCCGGGUCCCGAACUGGCGCUCUCGAGUGCGGUAGGGGAGAGCGGAAUUCCCGGUGUAGCGGUGGAAUGCGCAGAUAUCGGGAAGAACACCGACGGCGAAGGCAGCUCUCUGGGCCGAAACUGACGCUGAGGCGCGAAAGCUGGGGGAGCGAACAGGAUUAGAUACCCUGGUAGUCCCAGCCGUAAACGAUGGGCGCUAGGUGUGGGGGAGCAAGAUCCCCCGUGCCGCAGCCAACGCAUUAAGCGCCCCGCCUGGGGAGUACGGCCGCAAGGCUAAAACUCAAAGGAAUUGACGGGGGCCCGCACAAGCAGCGGAGCAUGUGGCUUAAUUCGAAGCAACGCGAAGAACCUUACCAGGGCUUGACAUGCAGGUGAAGCGGCGGAGACGCCGUGGCCGAGAGGAGCCUGCACAGGUGGCGCAUGGCUGUCGUCAGCUCGUGUCGUGAGAUGUUGGGUUAAGUCCCGCAACGAGCGCAACCCUUAUGGUCAGUUACUACGCAAGAGGACUCUGGCCAGACUGCCGUUGACAAAACGGAGGAAGGUGGGGAUGACGUCAAAUCAUCAUGCCCUUUAUGACUUGGGCUACACACGUACUACAAUGGCGUUAAACAAAGAGAAGCAAGACCGCGAGGUGGAGCAAAACUCAGAAACAACGUCCCAGUUCGGACUGCAGGCUGCAACUCGCCUGCACGAAGUCGGAAUUGCUAGUAAUUGCAGAUCAGCAUGCUGCGGUGAAUACGUUCCCGGGCCUUGCACACACCGCCCGUCA